rnacentral:rRNA from 1 species
UGGGGAAUAUUGGACAAUGGGCGCAAGCCUGAUCCAGCCAUGCCGCGUGGGUGAAGAAGGCCUUCGGGUUGUAAAGCCCUUUUGUCCGGAAAGAAACGGUCCGGGCUAAUAUCCUGGGCUAAUGACGGUACCUGAAGAAUAAGCACCGGCUAACUACGUGCCAGCAGCCGCGGUAAUACGUAGGGUGCAAGCGUUAAUCGGAAUUACUGGGCGUAAAGCGUGCGCAGGCGGUUGUGCAAGACAGAUGUGAAAUCCCCGGGCUCAACCUGGGAAUUGCAUUUGUGACUGCACGGCUAGAGUGUGUCAGAGGGGGGUAGAAUUCCACGUGUAGCAGUGAAAUGCGUAGAGAUGUGGAGGAAUACCGAUGGCGAAGGCAGCCCCCUGGGAUAACACUGACGCUCAUGCACGAAAGCGUGGGGAGCAAAC